rnacentral:rRNA from 1 species
CGGACGGGUGAGUAACACGUGGGUAACCUGCCUAAAAGAAGGGGAUAACACUUGGAAACAGGCUGCUAAUACCGUAUAUCUCUAAGGAUCGCAUGAUCCUUAGAUGAAAGAUGGUUCUACUAUCGCUUUUAGAUGGACCCGCGGCGUAUUAACUAGUUGGUGGGGUAACGGCCUACCAAGGUAAUGAUACGUAGCCGAACUGAUAGGUUGAUCGGCCACAUUGGGACUGAGACACGGCCCAAACUCCUACGGGAGGCAGCAGUAGGGAAUCUUCCACAAUGGACGCAAGUCUGAUGGAGCAACGCCGCGUGAGUGAAGAAGGUCUUCGGAUCGUAAAACUCUGUUGUUAGAGAAGAACACGAGUGAGAGUAACUGUUCAUUCGAUGACGGUAUCUAACCAGCAAGUCACGGCUAACUACGUGCCAGCAGCCGCGGUAAUACGUAGGUGGCAAGCGUUGUCCGGAUUUAUUGGGCGUAAAGGGAACGCAGGCGGUCUUUUAAGUCUGAUGUGAAAGCCUUCGGCUUAACCGGAGUAGUGCAUUGGAAACUGGAAGACUUGAGUGCAGAAGAGGAGAGUGGAACUCCAUGUGUAGCGGUGAAAUGCGUAGAUAUAUGGAAGAACACCAGUGGCGAAAGCGGCUCUCUGGUCUGUAACUGACGCUGAGGUUCGAAAGCGUGGGUAGCAAACAGGAUUAGAUACCCUGGUAGUCCACGCCCGUAAACGAUGAAUGCUAGGUGUUGGAGGGUUU